rnacentral:rRNA from 1 species
GAGUUUGAUCCUGGCUCAGGAUGAACGCUAGCGGCAGGCCUAACACAUGCAAGUCGAGGGGUAGAGUUAGCUUGCUAACUUGAGACCGGCGCACGGGUGCGUAACGCGUAUGCAAUCUACCUUGUACAGGGGGAUAGCCCAGAGAAAUUUGGAUUAAUACCCCAUAGUAUUAUAGGAUGGCAUCAUUUUAUGAUUAAAGAAUUUCGGUAAAAGAUGAGUAUGCGUCCCAUUAGCUAGAUGGUAAGGUAACGGCUUACCAUGGCAACGAUGGGUAGGGGUCCUGAGAGGGAGAUCCCCCACACUGGUACUGAGACACGGACCAGACUCCUACGGGAGGCAGCAGUGAGGAAUAUUGGUCAAUGGGCGCAAGCCUGAACCAGCCAUGCCGCGUGCAGGAAGACGGUCCUAUGGAUUGUAAACUGCUUUUGUACAGGAAGAAACAGUUCUACGUGUAGAACCUUGACGGUACUGUAAGAAUAAGGAUCGGCUAACUCCGUGCCAGCAGCCGCCGUAAC